rnacentral:pre_miRNA from 1 species
AGAGUAGAUCGAGUAUAGCCAAGGAUGAUUUGCCGACGGGUUGAUUUGCAUUCUACUACGAUUUACAUCCAGCUUCCAUGCCACGCCGGCCGGCCAGCCGAUCGGCAGGUUGUCCUUGGCUAUAUUUUCCUCUUU